GAUGGUACACAUUAGGGAGAAGAGAGUAAAGGGCUGUAAGAAACAAGUCCAGCUGGGAGAACUUAAAAAUGUGGACAGAUACACUUCAAGAAACAGAAGAUGGGAACAACCCUUGGAUAGGUCACUUCUAUAAUAUGCACCCAGACUUGACUGCUUUACAACUGACAUGAUAAUGGGAAUCGUGCCUAAGAGAAAGGCUGAAGGAAAUGCUAAAUAUAAUACAAACAAGACUGAGAAUGAGCCACAGGGGAAUCAGAACAGAUCUAUUAAACAUACCCCCUUGAAAGGACU
rnacentral:lncRNA from 1 species